CCUACGGGAGGCAGCAUUGGGGAAUUUUGGACAAUGGGCGAAAGCCUGAUCCAGCAAUGCCGCGUGAGUGAAGAAGGCCUUCGGGUUGUAAAGCUCUUUUGUCAGGGAAGAAACGGUGAGAGCUAAUAUCUCUUGCUAAUGACGGUACCUGAAGAAUAAGCACCGGCUAACUACGUGCCAGCAGCCGCGGUAAUACGUAGGGUGCAAGCGUUAAUCGGAAUUACUGGGCGUAAAGCGUGCGCAGGCGGUUUUGUAAGUCUGAUGUGAAAUCCCCGGGCUCAACCUGGGAAUUGCAUUGGAGACUGCAAGGCUAGAAUCUGGCAGAGGGGGGUAGAAUUCCACGUGUAGCAGUGAAAUGCGUAGAUAUGUGGAGGAACACCGAUGGCGAAGGCAGCCCCCUGGGUCAAGAUUGACGCUCAUGCACGAAAGCGUGGGGAGCAAACAGGAUUAGAUACCCUGGUAGUCCACGCCCUAAACGAUGUCUACUAGUUGUCGGGUCUUAAUUGACUUGGUAACGCAGCUAACGCGUGAAGUAGACCGCCUGGGGAGUACGGUCGCGAAGAUUAAAACUUAGAAGUAGUAGCGNGAGAGAGCGACGACGACGACGAGGAGGAGGNG
rnacentral:rRNA from 1 species